CCCCAGACUCCUACGGGAGGCAGCAGUGGGGAAUAUUGCACAAUGGGGGAAACCCUGAUGCAGCGACGCCGCGUGAGCGAUGAAGUAUUUCGGUAUGUAAAGCUCUAUCAGCAGGGAAGAAAAUGACGGUACCUGACUAAGAAGCCCCGGCUAACUACGUGCCAGCAGCCGCGGUAAUACGUAGGGGGCAAGCGUUAUCCGGAUUUACUGGGUGUAAAGGGAGCGUAGACGGCUGUGCAAGCCAGAUGUGAAAGCCCGGGGCUCAACCCCGGGACUGCAUUUGGAACUGUGUGGCUGGAGUGUCGGAGAGGCAGGCGGAAUUCCUAGUGUAGCGGUGAAAUGCGUAGAUAUUAGGAGGAACACCAGUGGCGAAGGCGGCCUGCUGGACGAUGACUGACGUUGAGGCUCGAAAGCGUGGGGAGCAAACAGGAUUAGAUACCCUGGUACA
rnacentral:rRNA from 1 species